rnacentral:rRNA from 1 species
UGGGGAAUUUUGGACAAUGGGCGAAGGCCUGAUCCAGCCAUGCCGCGUGCGGGAAGAAGGCCUUCGGGUUGUAAACCGCUUUUGUCAGGGAAGAAAUCCUUUGGGCUAAUACCCCUGGGGGAUGACGGUACCUGAAGAAUAAGCACCGGCUAACUACGUGCCAGCAGCCGCGGUAAUACGUAGGGUGCAAGCGUUAAUCGGAAUUACUGGGCGUAAAGCGUGCGCAGGCGGUUAUGUAAGACAGGUGUGAAAUCCCCGGGCUUAACCUGGGAACUGCAUUUGUGACUGCAUAGCUAGAGUACGGUAGAGGGGGAUGGAAUUCCGCGUGUAGCAGUGAAAUGCGUAGAUAUGCGGAGGAACACCGAUGGCGAAGGCAGCCCCCUGGGCUAACACUGACGCUCAUGCACGAAAGCGUGGGGAGCAAA